rnacentral:rRNA from 1 species
GACGUAGGGCGCGAGCGUUGUCCGGAUUUAUUGGGCGUAAAGAGCUCGUAGGCGGCUUGUCGCGUCGUCCGUGAAAACUUGGGGGCUCAACCCCAAGCUUGCGGUCGAUACGGGCAGGCUAGAGUUCGGUAGGGGAGACUGGAAUUCCCGGUCGUAGCGGUGAAAUGCGCAGAUAUCGGGAAGAACACCCGUGGCGAAGGCGGCUCUCUGAGACGGUACUGGACGCUGAGACGCGAAAGCGUGGGGAGCGAACAGG